ACUGGGACUGAGACACGGCCCAGACUCCUACGGGAGGCAGCAGUGGGGAAUUUUCCGUAAUGGGCGCAAGCCUGACGGAGCAAUACCGCGUGAGGGAGGAAGGCCUUUGGGUUGUAAACCUCUUUUCUUAAGGAAGAAGAUCUGACGGUAUUUAAGGAAUCAGCAUCGGCUAACUCCGUGCCAGCAGCCGCGGUAAUACGGAGGAUGCAAGCGUUAUCCGGAAUUAUUGGGCGUAAAGCGUCCGCAGGCGGCAUUAUAAGUCUGCUGUCAAAGACCGCAGCUCAACUGCGGAAAGGCAGUGGAAACUGUAAAGCUAGAGUACGGUAGGGGUAGAGGGAAUUCCCAGUGUAGCGGUGAAAUGCGUAGAUAUUGGGAAGAACACCAGUGGCGAAAGCGCUCUACUGGGCCGUAACUGACGCUCAGGGACGAAAGCUAGGGGAGCGAAAGGGAUUAGAUACCCCUGUAGUCCUAGCUGUAAACGAUGGAUACUAGGCGUAGCUUGUAUCGACCCGAGCUGUGCCGAAGCUAACGCGUUAAGUAUCCCGCCUGGGGAGUACGCACGCAAGUGUGAAACUCAAAGGAAUUGACGGGGGCCCGCACAAGCGGUGGAGUAUGUGGUUUAAUUCGAUGCAACGCGAAGAACCUUACCAGGGCUUGACA
rnacentral:rRNA from 1 species